AUUGAACGCCGGCGGAAUGCUUUACACAUGCAAGUCGAACGGCAGCACGGACUUCGGUCUGGUGGCGAGUGGCGAACGGGUGAGUAAUGUAUCGGAACGUGCCCAGUCGGGGGGGAUAACGUAGUGAAAAUUACGCUAAUACCGCAUACGAUCUAUGGAUGAAAGCGGGGGAUCGCAAGACCUCGCGCGAUUGGAGCGGCCGAUAUCAGAUUAGGUAGUUGGUGGGGUAAAGGCCCACCAAGCCAACGAUCUGUAGCUGGUCUGAGAGGACGACCAGCCACACUGGAACUGAGACACGGUCCAGACUCCUACGGGAGGCAGCAGUGGGGAAUUUUGGACAAUGGGCGAAAGCCUGAUCCAGCCAUUCCGCGUGCAGGAUGAAGGCCCUCGGGUUGUAAACUGCUUUUGUACAGAACGAAAAGGUUUCUACUAAUACUAGGAGCUCAUGACGGUACUGUAAGAAUAAGCACCGGCUAACUACGUGCCAGCAGCCGCGGUAA
rnacentral:rRNA from 1 species